rnacentral:rRNA from 1 species
UACGUAGGGGGCUAGCGUUGUCCGGAAUCAUUAGGCGUAAAGCGCGUGUAGGCGGUCCGGUAAGUCCGCUGUGAAAGUCGGGGGCUCAACCCUCGGAUGCCGGUGGAUACUGUCGGGCUUGAGUACGGAAGAGGCGAGUGGAAUUCCUGGUGUAGCGGUGAAAUGCGCAGAUAUCAGGAAGAACACCCGUGGCGAAGGCGGCUCUCUGGGACGGUACUGACGCUGAGACGCGAAAGCGUGGGGAGCGAACAGG